UGGGGAAUAAUUCUUAUCUCGGUUGGUCUCCUCCCUUUACUUUUGCUCUGUGGACCCAAAAUAAGCUGCCUGGCUUGCUCAGUGGAUCAGCAUCUCGUAGAUUCAUGCUCUUUAACUUUCUCACCUACUGACGAAAGAUCAUCCAAGAAGAGAGGCUCGUAACUCCCAUUUUUCCAAAAUUAUUGCCAACAAACUUCAACUUAUCCCUUCUCGAUCGAUAGUUUUCCAAAACCAUUUUGAGCUUAUGCAGUUUAUGGCUCGCUCCCGCUCCUGGCA
rnacentral:lncRNA from 1 species